CCAGAGGAGCUGCCUGAGCUUCCCCUCGUUCAGUAUCCUGAGGAGCAGCCCGGCAUACCCAGCGCCCAGUACCCUGAGGAGCCCAUGGUGUGGGACACUGCGGAAGACGCCAGGGAUACCCAGCCCCUGCCUGAGGGUCUGGACCGUGACCUACUGGCUGUCGGUAGUGAGGCGCCCUGGAUCCCAGCAGCGCCUGAGAGGGCCGAGCCCCAACACCGGACGUCCACACGACUAAAGAGAAAGUUGGAAAUAGCAGGAGAAGUGACUUCCCAAGGUCACACAUGAAGUCUGUGGCAGAUUUGAAAACAGAAGCCAAAUCUCCUGCUUCCCAGUCUUGUUCUCCAGAUUAUGCCUCUUUUUUGUGCACCCCUUACACAACUUUUAAAUUCAUUUUAACUCAUCUAACUCACUUACUUCAGCAAAUUUGAGUUCAUGCAGUCAUAAGCUAUGCCACUUCCUCCACUCAGCAGGUUUUGUUCCUAUGUUGACCUUAAAGUAACCCCACAUGCUGAUCUUGUU